UGAUCUUUGAAGUUCUUGGCAUGGAGCCUGUCUCCCAGUCAGUGCGCCACAUUGCCCACUGGGGCCAGACACCAGCAGGGUUACCAGCAGCUGGAGGAGAGGCUGUGACUGCUGUCUCCUGCGCAGCCGGGGGCUGUGUUCUUCAGGGUACGAAACCUGGACCAAAAAAAGCAAUGUCUGAUGACUCCAUCCCAGUGCUGCCAGUGACUCCGGAGAAGUCGGCUUAGCUCCUCAUGGCCCUGACUGCUGCACAGCUCUUCCCGGUCACUCUGUGAACCUGCAGGAACCCACCCAUAGAAAUGGAAGAUCAGAGAGUCUUACCAGUGCCUCGUUGCCUCCCACCCCCGCUGCCCAUCGCACUCUCUCCUGCCUCUUUACUCACCACGCAUAGGAACCGCAGACUUCCCAGGGCACAUUUCCACAUAGGCAGGACUUGCUCCAUUAGCCACCAGCUUGUAAGGAAUGACCAUCUUAAUCACAGUGGAAAUCUGCCCCACAGUGCUCUGU